rnacentral:rRNA from 1 species
UGGGGGAACCCUGAUCCAGCCAUGCCGCGUGUGUGAAGAAGGCCCUAGGGUUGUAAAGCACUUUCAGUGGGGAAGAAGGCAUGACGAUUAAUACCCGUCAUGAAGGACAUCACCCACAGAAGAAGCACCGGCUAACUCCGUGCCAGCAGCCGCGGUAAUACGGAGGGUGCAAGCGUUAAUCGGAAUUACUGGGCGUAAAGGGCGCGUAGGCGGCUUGCCAAGCCGGAUGUGAAAGCCCCGGGCUCAACCCGGGAACGGCAUUCGGAACUGGCAGGCUAGAGUGCAGGAGAGGAAGGUGGAAUUCCCGGUGUAGCGGUGAAAUGCGUAGAGAUCGGGAGGAAUACCAGUGGCGAAGGCGGCCUUCUGGACUGACACUGACGCUGAGGCGCGAAAGCGUGGGUAGCAAACAGGAUUAGAUACCCUGGUAGUCCACGCCGUAAACGAUGUCGACCAGCCGUUGGACCCCUUGAGGGUUUGGUGGCGCAGUUAACGCAAUAAGUCGACCGCCUGGGGAGUACGGCCGCAAGGCUAAAACUCAAAUGAAUUGACGGGGGCCCGCACAAGCGGUGGAGCAUGUGGUUUAAUUCGAUGCAACGCGAAGAACCUUACCUGCUCUUGACAUCCUGCGAAUCUCCCAGAGAUGGGAGAGUGCCUUCGGGAGCGCAGAGACAGGUGCUGCAUGGCUGUCGUCAGCUCGUGUUGUGAAAUGUUGGGUUAAGUCCCGUAACGAGCGCAACACCUAUCCCUUUUUGCCGCGUUCUGGCCGGGAUCUUCAGGUAGACUGCCGCUGACAGGUGUAGGGAGGUGCUUAUGCGUUAAGUCGACUGCUGGUGAGAGUCGCGUUC